rnacentral:lncRNA from 1 species
UUAAUUCUCUUUUCUUUCUUUUUCUCUGCCCUUCCAGUUGAAACUAUGGAACAAAUUCCGGGUGUCCAACAUCCCCUCGCUGAUAUUUAUAGAUGCCAACACUGGGAAAGUGGUUUGUCGGAAUGGCCUCUUGGUGAUCCGAGAUGACCCAGAAGGCCUGGAGUUCCCGUGGGGUCCCCGGCCAUUCAGCGAGGUGGUGGCCGGCCCUCUUCUCCGAAAUAGCGGGCCUGCCCUUGACAGCAGCGUCUUGGAAGGCUCCCACGUCGGGGUUUAUUUCUCUGCUCACUGGUGCCCACCCUGUAGAAGUCUCACUCGGGUUCUGGUGGAAUCUUACCGGAAAAUCAAAGAUGCUGGUCAAAAAUUCGAGAUUGUCUUUGUUAGUGCAGACAGGUAAUUGAAUACGAGUCCCAAACUCUGGGGCAUAAAUCCUGUUUGCUUUUUUUAGCCCUUUUCAUACCUGGGUGGAACGGAGCUCAGUGAUGUAUUCUGAGCCCUCCUUUUUGUAUAAAAAGGGGAAGGAGGGAGAGAGGAAGGAAGGAAGGGAAUGAAGAAGAGAGAGGGAAGGAGUAAGGAAAGAGGAAGAAAGGAAGGAGGGAGGGAGGAGAGGAAUAAAAGAAAGAAAGGGGAAGGAAAGAAGAAGGAAGGAGAAAAGGGAAGGGAAGGAAGAAAGAAGGAAAAUGAAGAGAAGAGGAGAAUGGAAAAUGACACGGGGAGAAGGAAGGAAGGUUUGGAAAAUGAAGAAAAAAGAGGGAAGAGGGAAGAAAUGAAGGUUAAGAAAAUAAGUGAAGUGAAGUGAAGGGGAUGGAGGCAGGGAAGGAGAGACUAGUACAGGAAGGGAUGGAAGAAGGAGAGAGCGAAGAAUAAAAGAAAGAAAUGGAGAAAGAAAAGAAGAAAGGAAAAAGGCAAGGAAGCAUAAAAAGGGAAGGAGGAAGAAAAGGAAGGAGUAAUGGAGGGAGGGAGGAAAGG